GGAUGUGAGGGCGAUCUGGCUGUGACAUCUGUCACCCCAUUGAUCGCCAGGGUUGAGUCGGCUGAUCUGGCUGGCUAGGCGGGUGUCCCCCUCCUCCCUCACUGAUCCAUGUGCGUCCCUCCUGAAGUUUCGCGCACGGUCAAAGAGGAUGACCUCCCCCCCGCCCCCAGGAGAGGACCAGUCUUUGGUCAAGGGUAUACGAGUAGCUGCGCUCCCCUGCUAGAACCUCCAAACAAGCUCUCAAAAAGAGAUUGAAUGAGAUUAAAAUACUGAUAUAAAAAUCUCUUUGAAAAAAACCCCCCACAAAAAACCUCUUU
rnacentral:snRNA from 1 species